UGUACCACUGCAGGGUUGCUG
rnacentral:misc_RNA from 1 species